rnacentral:miRNA from 1 species
UUCUGGAUAUGAAGACAAUCA